rnacentral:rRNA from 1 species
UAAUACGGAGGGUGCGAGCGUUGUCCGGAAUCACUGGGCGUAAAGGGCGCGUAGGCGGCCGUGUAAGUCACUUGUGAAAUCCCGGGGCUCAACUCCGGGGCUGCAGGUGAGACUGCGUGGCUAGAGCACGGUAGAGGCGAGUGGAAUUCCCGGUGUAGCGGUGGAAUGCGUAGAUAUCGGGAAGAACACCGGUGGCGAAGGCGGCUCGCUGGGCCGUUGCUGACGCUGAGGCGCGAAAGCGUGGGGAGCAAACA